rnacentral:rRNA from 1 species
UACAGAGGCCCCGAGCAUUACCCGGAAUUACUGGGCGUAAAGGGUGCGUAGGUGGUCAUAUUAGUCGUCUGUUAAAAAUCAGGGCUCAACCCUGGGAGUGCGGGCGAAACGGUAUGACUCGAGAGCGUGAGAGGUACAGGGAACUCUAAGUGUAGGGGUGAAAUCCGUUGAUAUUUAGGGGAACACCGAAAGCGAAGGCACUGUACUGGCGCGUUUCUGACACUGAUAGCACGAAAGCGUGGGUAGCGAACGGG